UCUAAAUUUUUAAACUUAGUGUACAAUCACCCAUGCAUGAAUUUUGACUAAGCUAUUUAAUCCACAGGUUAAAAUCCUUAUUUAUCUCAAGGAAGCCGAUCUGGCCUUCUUUCAGCCAGUUUAAUCGGUCAACAACCAUAACCGGCUUUUAAAUCCCUUUAUCGCAUUAUCUCCUCCAUUCAAUGGAAAAACCCUAGCUGUUGGAAUUCACCAGCAACACAACCGCACAACUCUGUCACCUCCAUAAUCUCCACCACCACUGAAACCUUAGACGUCACUUUGCCUCCUUUCGCCUUAAACCACCCACAGUCACGCAUGUUUCGCCUUCUCUGCCACCUACCUACUUCUCUCAAAUUAACGUUAACCACGAACAGUCUGACCACCAACGUAUGCACUCUGCCUCUUUCCGUCUAUCAUCACCACCCAAUAAUUUUUCGCCUCUACCCUCCUUCACCUACGUUUCGCUGUUCACCAAUAUCUACUGUUACCCAUCCCAACGCACCUCUACCACUUCUACACCUUAUUAAGACCUAUCUCUAAAACCCUACACAUAUCAACACCUUCGUCUUCACUACUUCAUUACUACCAUCACCUCAUUCAGAUCUCCAUCACUCGUUGGAAACCUAAGGAUAUAUGCAUCGCCGCUUCAACCUUGAAACCGAUGUGGACUCCUCAAAGAUUCGACAGAUCAUUCGAAGCCAUAUAGGUUAAUCUGAAUCUGUGUUUGAAGGUCAUAUGUUGUUUGUUUUUUCUUGGGGAUUGGGUUUGGGGUUUUUACUCCAUCAUUUGAAUAUCGGAUAUUGGUGUGGGAUUUGCAGGACUUGAAAUGGAUUGAUAUAAACCGACAUCUCAAAGAAAUCGUGGGUAAGCUUCUUAAGAUCUGAAUAUGAUCUUCUUGUUGGGUUUUUAGAGCUCUUGUAGUUGAGUGUUUAGUUUUUUCUUUAAAGUUGCAAUAUGUAAGUUUUUGUUAUUGUUUGGGGUAAACCCAUUUGUAAGUUUUGUUUUUGAAAAUUGCAAUGCAUAAGUUUUUGGUUUCAUUUAUUGUCGGACAACAAAAAAAUUUAACCGACAAAAUUUUGUGAAUUUGGGUUGAUUUGUUUCGAAUUUU